rnacentral:rRNA from 1 species
AACGAACGCUGGCGGCAUGCCUAACACAUGCAAGUCGAACGAGACCUUCGGGUCUAGUGGCGCGGGGGUGGGUAACGCGUGGGAACCUGCGCUAAGGUUCGGAAUAACUCCCCGAAAGGGGUGCUAAUACCGGAUAAUGUUUUCGGACCAGAGAUUUAUCGCGUUUGGAUGGGUAGGCGUUGGAUUAGCUGGUUGGUAGGGUAAAAGGCUACCAAGGCGGCGAUCCGUAGCUGGUCUGAGAGGAUGAUCAGCCACACUGGGACUGAGACACGGCCCAGACUGCUACGGGAGACAGCAGUGGGGAAGAUUGGACAAUGGGCGCAAGUGUGAUGAAGCGUGGCCGCGUGAGGGAUGGAGGCCUGCGGGGUGUGAACCUCUUUCGCCAGUGAAGCAGGCCUGCCUCGGUUGUGGGUGGGUUGACGGUAGCUGGAUAAGAAGCGCCGGCUAACUACGUG